rnacentral:rRNA from 1 species
GUGGGGAAUCUUAGACAAUGGGGGAAACCCUGAUCUAGCCAUGCCGCGUGAGCGAUGAAGGCCUUAGGGUUGUAAAGCUCUUUCAGCUGGGAAGAUAAUGACGGUACCAGCAGAAGAAGCCCCGGCUAACUCCGUGCCAGCAGCCGCGGUAAUACGGAGGGGGCUAGCGUUGUUCGGAAUUACUGGGCGUAAAGCGCACGUAGGCGGAUCAGAAAGUCAGAGGUGAAAUCCCAGGGCUCAACCUUGGAACUGCCUUUGAAACUCCUGGUCUUGAGGUCGAGAGAGGUGAGUGGAAUUCCGAGUGUAGCGGUGAAAUUCGUAGAUAUUCGGAGGAACACCAGUGGCGAAGGCGGCUCACUGGCUCGAUACUGACGCUGAGGUGCGCAAGCGUGGGGAGCAAACAGGAUUAGAAACCCGAGUAGUCC